UCCAGACUCCUACGGGAGGCAGCAGUGAGGAAUAUUGGUCAAUGGCCGGAAGGCUGAACCAGCCAAGUCGCGUGAGGGAAUAAGGCCCUAUGGGUCGUAAACCUCUUUUGUCAGGGAGCAAAGGCGUCCACGUGUGGACGAGAGGAGAGUACCUGAAGAAAAAGCAUCGGCUAACUCCGUGCCAGCAGCCGCGGUAAUACGGAGGAUGCGAGCGUUAUCCGGAUUUAUUGGGUUUAAAGGGUGCGUAGGCGGGACCUUAAGUCAGCGGUAAAAUUGCGGUGCUCAACGCCGUAGAGCCGUUGAAACUGGGGCUCUUGAGUGAGCGAGAAGUAUGCGGAAUGCGUGGUGUAGCGGUGAAAUGCAUAGAUAUCACGCAGAACCCCGAUUGCGAAGGCAGCAUACCGGCGCUCAACUGACGCUGAGGCACGAAAGUGCGGGUAUCGAACAGGAUUAGAUACCCGAGUA
rnacentral:rRNA from 1 species